rnacentral:rRNA from 1 species
AGUGAACGCUGGCGGCGUGCCUAAUACAUGCAAGUCGAACGAUGAAGUCCUAGCUUGCUAGGAUGGAUUAGUGGCGCACGGGUGAGUAAUAUAUAGUUAAUCUGCCCUACACAGAGGAACAACAGUUGGAAACGGCUGCUAAUACCUCAUUCUCCUAUUUGACAUAAGUUAAAUAGGGAAAGUCUUUUCGGUGUAGGAUGAGACUAUAUCGUAUCAGCUAGUUGGUAAGGUAAUGGCUUACCAAGGCUAUGACGCGUAACUGGUCUGAGAGGAUGAUCAGUCACAUUGGAAAUGAGACACGGUCCAAACUCCUACGGGAGGCAGCAGUAAGGAAUAUUGCGCAAUGGGGGAAACCCUGACGCAGCAACGCCGCGUGGAGGAUGACACUUUUCGGAGCGUAAACUCCUUUUAUCAGGAAAGAAUAAUGACGGUACCUGAUGAAUAAGCACCGGCUAACUCCGUG